rnacentral:lncRNA from 1 species
GUAUGAGAGCUGAAACAAGAAGCCAGAGCACGGACCUCAGCUGAGAAUGUGUCAAGGGACUAAAGUUUUUUGCCUCUCCGUGAAUAUCCAUGAAUGAUGGCCAAAGGGCCAUGAAUAUUGACUUUGGGGUUUCAACAUGCAAAUGAAGGAAACAAGACUGAGCGGCCUUCUGUCCAGAAAGCAGGAAAUGAAGCCUGUCUGGGACCACAUAUUCCCUUGGGACACGUCGUAGUGUCAGAAAUGGGUUCUGGAAGAAGCUGGCCUUUGUUCAUUUCUGUUUCGUGAGUGAGCUCCUCCUCUUGGCCCUGGCUGGAGGGGUGGCUUCCCACCCACAUUCCCCAGGAGUGUUAAACCAAAGAGAAGCUCAUCAGGACUCCAGUCAGGCUCUGCUAUCUCUAGAGCCGCCAUCAGAAGCGCCCGCCCUCCUCAGCCUUGCUUUCCACUGACAGAAACGUUGACUUUUCCAGAUGAGAUGUUCUGAGCCAACCAGUUGCUCUCACAUGAAGCAGAACCACAGUCAUGAGGAGGCAGCUUAUCCUCGGGCCCUAAGAGGCCGGAGCUGAUGCUGUUGCACUUGGCUGGAUUGAUGUUUAAAUGUCCUCUGCCUCACAGGCAGCCUUCCCUCCGGCCGGAGGGACCCUGGAUCUCUGUAACCUCUGUGAGGGGUAAAGUCUACUGUUAAUCUCACUAACGAGGGGUCUGUUUCACAAACCGGCCAAGCCCUGGUUUCUUCCAAGGAGACAUAACAGUGUUUUCUGCAGAGGGGCCUGUGAUAAGAUAUCUCAGAAAUGGAGUGAUUUAGGGCUAGCCCGGUGGCGCAGCAAAGUUCACACGUUCUGCUUCGGUGGCCUGGGGUUCGCUGGGUUUGGAUCCCAGGUGCAUAGGGCACAGCUUGGCAAGCCAUGCUGUCUCAGGCAUUCCACAUAUAAAAUAGAAGAUGAUGGACACUGAUGUUAGCUCAGGGCCAGGCUUCCUCAGCAAAAAGAGGAGGAUUGGCGGCAGAUGUUACCUCAGGGCCAAUCUUCCUCAAAAAAGAAAAGAAAAAGAAAUGAGGUGAUUUAUAAAAAGGAUGUUAUUUCCUACAGAGUAGGAAGCUGGAAGAUCCUUUUAGAUAUUAUUUACUCAUUAGACAGACCGAUAAAGAAACUAAAGCCCAGAGCAGGGCAGUAGCUGCUGGAGGGCCCAGAGCCACGUGGUAGGAGAGCUGGGAGAGAGGCCUGGGUACUGAGCGAGCUGCUGUGUUUGGGCUGCUCUGCACAUCCCCGUGUUUCUGUAUUCCUCCAUGCUCACGGAGUCUUCCUCAGACUUCAGUCUCCAGAUGUGCCAUAGUUUAAUUUGGGGGUCCUCAAGUCAAAAUUUCAAGAACUGAAGAAUACGGAUCAUGAGACCUGCUGAAUAACAUCGAAGGAACUUCUGAACACGCCACCAUUUAAGCGGAGAGGGUCCCUCCCUUCCGCUGCAAUCAGGCUAUUACAGGCUCGCUCUGCCUCUUACCCGCUGGGCGCAGGCCAAGCCCAGAGCCCGGAGCUCCUACUAUGACUUGGCCGAGCAGCAAGCUAUUCAUCCACACGUCCAAGGCCACUUUUGUGCGAACAGCUUCGCAUCACCUGCCCCUGGAGACUUCGGAUCACCCCUCUGCUCCCCCGCCCUCCCCUGCUCCAGCCCCUCUCUGGCUGUGCAGGAGCCAAAGGGGAUUUGUGAUAACAGAGUCACAGGCACAGGCCCAACCCAGGCCCGAGGAGCUUGACCUGAGGCAAGAGCAUAGCCCAGAACAACACACGCCACUCCCCAGCAAGGAGGGGUGGCCUGGCACUCAAAUCGAAAACUCCUGGGCUUUUGAUGGAAGCCAUAAAACAAAGGUAGUAUUCCAGAAGGAAUCUCAGAUCCUUGUUCAUACUGGAGCCCAAGUGACCAUCAAAACAAGAGGCUGCUUCUCCAUAGGCAGUUCCGAGGAUCAAGGUUCCUGUUAAUUCUGGAUUUGGAAAAACAUACCUGGGAAGGAGGCAGGCACUCCCACUGCAUUACCUCUGAGAAAGACACAAUUCGCAGAUCCACCAAACCAGACGAUGUUGCUGGCAGAAAAAUGUGCACGCUCUGGUGUUUGUGCAAGAAUGAGAAGACCUCUGUGGCGCAGUGGCAGGAGCCUGCAAAUAACGUCCACUGUGGUGGAUUUGGGAUUGUCCAGAAUGUGACUGUGUAAGGCUGGGAUUGGAAGCCCGUUCUGAAUAUGUGCCUGAGUACCACGUCAGUUCAGCCGUGCUGAGCCUGAGCGAGGCGUCCUCCCUCACAAGCUUCCCAGGACCCCUUGGCUGUGCACACAAAGAGAAGCCGGCUUUUCUUGUUUGCGCCUUUGCUCCUUCCUAUUUGAUUGAAUUUGAAGAGGAACUGUUUGCCUUUGGCUGCACAUCCUGAAUCAUAAUCAGGAUGCUGCUGGCACAGAAAACCUGCUCCCACCCUUGCCUGAAAUAACUGAACAGGGAAGUCGAGAUCCUCCCCUCUCCAAACUUAAAGAAAGAGGCUCAUAAUUUAUGGAGUGCUGGCAAAGCAUCAAAAGUCAAUCCAGUCACUUACAGUAAAAUCAAGGAGGGCGGAACAAUGAAUAUAAAGUGAGAUUCAAACACCUCAUUAAGGGAACAAAGUGUCCAGUUGACACCAGAAUACUGAUGCUUACAUAUUUGUAAGCCAGAGUCCAGUGGCCUUCUGAGAGACUUCCUUGUCCGCGGGAUAUGAAAGGUAUAAAGCCACACCCUCAGCUUUUUCAGUCCUUCAACAAAUAUGCUUUGCUGAAACCAUCUAUCAAGCAUGGUGCUACUAAGGUAUAUUGGUUUCUUAGGGCUGCUGACACAAAUUACUAUAAACUUGGUGGCUUAAAGCAACAUAAAUUUAUUCCCUCAUAGUUCCAGAGGCCAGAAGUCUGAAGUCAAGGUGUUGGGAGGGCCAGACUCCCUCUGAAGCCUCUAGAGAACUUGCCUCAUUUCUUCCAGCUUCUGGUGGCUCCAGAUAUUUCUUGGCUUGUGGCUGCAUCACUCCUGUCUCUGCCUCUGGCUUGGCGUGACCUCCUCCUCCCUGAGUGUCUGUCUUCGGUGUGUCUCUGAGAAGGGUACUUGUCAUUGGAUUUAGGGCCCACUUGGACAAUCCAGGCUGAUCUCAUCUGGAGAUCCAUAAUUUAAUUGCAUUUGUGAAGACCCUUUUUCCAAAUAUGAUCACAUUCCUAAGUACUAGGGGUUAGGACUUGGUCAUAUCUUUUUGGGUGCCACCGUUCAAGAUCCAGAGGGUAGAAAGUUGAAAAGGACAGGGUUGUUGUUCUCAAGGAGUUCAGGCUAGUAGGGGAGACAAAUAGUUAAAUAACUAUAUCGAAAGAAUAACCGCAUCCAAAGCUGCGUUCCAGGUGCUGAGGGAUCUUAGAAGAGAUUGUACUGGGAACUGAUGCCGAGGUUGUGGUGGGGCAGAGGUAGGGUGUGUGUUUUUUUUUUAACCUUUGAACUCUACAAUUUCCUGGCAUCUAGAAAUCACUAUAGAACGUCAUCAGGUUGAAAAGACAAGUCCAGUUUGAAUAGUGAGGAUUAACACCGGCCCGGCCAGAUCUGUUGGGUCUGGCUGAGUUCAGCUAACCCUUUUGGUUGCCUCGAGGUUUUGGAGAGUCGGCAGGAAAAGGCGAGAAAGCCGAAGCCCAUGAAUUGGUUGAGAUUUUUGAUGGCUAUAUUUCUGAGAGGUGAAGAGCUGGAUGCCAUGAAAUGGGUCAUUGGCUUUCUCUGUGGCAGAGAAUGGGGAAGAGGACCGCUUGCAUCUGCCAUCCAUCCCAGGUCGGAGCGUGUGUGCCCCUGCAGGGCCACCUCGGGCCAAGGCUGUUGCCCCACUGAGAUCUCCUCCUCUGCUCCAAGGCCUUGGGCCGGAUGUUCUGUCUGAGCCUGGUGUGGUGGGGGAAGGCAGCUACUGCCCCAAGACAUGCUAGAGAGAAGAGACAGAACUGUUACUCACUUCUUUUUUGGGACAGCAUUUUUACAAGCUUUGCAGAACAUCACCUGCAGCUUUUUACAUUCUCCUGGGACUUUACCUUCUUUAUGAUUGUUUAUUAUAUUAAAAAGGUUCUUGAUAAUGGCUAUUAUGGAAUUAUUGUUAAUGUUCUUGUGCGUAAUAUGCUUGUUGUGAAAAAUGUCUUUAUUCCUUUUUUUUUUUAAAGAUUCACCCUGAGCUAACAUCUGUUGCCAGUCUUCCUCUUCUUCUUUUUCCUUCCCCAAAGCCCCAGUGCAUGGUUGUAUAUCCUAGUUGUAAGUUCUGGUUCUUCUAUGUGAGCUGCCGCCACAACAUGGCAACUGUCAGAAGCGUAGUGCGGUUCUGAGACCAGGAAGGGAACCCGGGCCACUGAAGAGGUUGUAAAAAUAACACAGACUCACUGUAUACAACUUGUAAAAUACAGAAGUGUAUAAAGAAGGAAAUAAAAUUACCAUUAACCCGUGCUCCAGAGGCUGGGCCCAUGGUAUGGAAGGUAUCAAUAAAUCCUUGUCGGUGACUUACUUGGAAUGAAUGUCCAGAAAAUGCUCAAGAAUAUCUAAGGAUCCAAAAAGGAGCGACAGAAUAAUUGAAUAUAUAAUUACUGCUUUCUUUGAUAUCUAUGUUUACAAGCUUUCUUUGAACUGGUGGUAUUAUCUGCCUAGAAAGUACCAGAGUUUAUUAACCAUUUUCACAUUUUCUCUCUGACUCCUCCGUCUAACCCUCACUAUCCAUUCCCCCAACACUCAAAAUUUAUUGUAAAAAGGUGUCCUUUGAAAGGCUUUUUAAAAGAAAUGUGAUUAUCUACAGCUCAGUGUCACUUUUAAAGUUGUCCCUUGAUACUUUCUGGAGGCUGCAAAAUAUAUUUAAUUUCCAAACAUUCUUGAAAGUCAUCCAAUAAAUUCAGGCAGGGAGGGAAUGGCCAGGGUACAGGGUGUGCGAGGGACCGCACUGUGAGUUGGCCGGUAUCAUUUAUUAUAAGCAAUCCGGCAGGUGCGUAAAUAACUCCUACCAGGAGGUUUUCCGCUCAGCUUCCCAAAAUGGCUCCAUUUCAACAUCCAGCAGUGACGCUGUAUUCUCAGAAUUGGAUUAGCCAAGGCCUGGGCAAGGUAAAAUCCACUGGAAUGAACCAAAGGAAAGGUUUGCUCCUACAUCAACAGCAUGAGUAUGAAAUAGACUUUUGUUUAUUAAAAAUGGUAGGAUUCAUCACCUAAUUGAAAAAUCCAAUUCUUUGAAGGGCAGAUGUACAUUUCAUAUUAUAUGGUUCAGUCCUAUAGAUUUAGGUUUUGAGCACUUAUUAAGUCUAAGACAUCGUGCUGGGUGCCAUGGAGGAUAAAGAGAUAAGCAAGACCUGGCCUUGGCUUUGGGAGUUCACACACUUGUUGGGAGGCAGACGUAUAUAUCAUCUUAUCACAGGAGAGAUUGAAAAAUUAGAAACGCAAGCAAAAUGCUGUUGGGUUAGAGAGGAAAACUUGGAGAUGUCUCUUGGUUGAGGAGGAAUUCAAACUAGGCAUUCUUCCAUUCAUUUAUUACUCAGACAAUUGUGGAAUGCCAAACUGGUUUCAUACACUAUACCAUGAACACUCAGAGAGGGCCAAUUGUAGUUGUUUAAUUAUUUACAGAAGAAUAAAGUUCAACAGGCAGAAAAGGGAAGGGAGGGCAUUCCAGGGAGUAGGAAUUGAGUUGAGGCCUUGAGGCUGCAUGGCAUGCCCAAGAAACAGGGAGGACACAGGUGUGGCUCUGACCCAGGAGGUGUGUGUGCGAGUGGGGGAUGGUGGGGGCUGGAGUGAAGGUAAAGAUGGAAGAUAAUCAGAGCAAAACUGCAGAGGGCUCUGAAUACCCAGGAAAGGAAAAAUAAAUUGUACUUUUAUUUAUUUAUUUAGUUUUUUUUUAGAUCACAUUUUUAUGAGUCAUUCUAAGUUUACCAAGAUUGCUCCCUUUUAGGUGUAACAGUUGGAAGUGCACUAGCUUGGAAUCAGACUAAACUUUGAAUCUGAGCUGUACCAUUUGCCAGAUGAAUAACUUUGGACAAGUGUCACCUAACCGUUCUGAUGCUCAGUUUUCUCAUCUGCGAAAAUAGGGUUUGUGCAGAUUAAGUUAGAAGAGAUAGGUGAGGGCGCCAAGGACAUUGCCCCCCUUCAGUGGAUACUCAGUAAAUGUUAGCUGCUUCUCCUUCUUUCCCUUCCCUUCCCUCUUCUCUUCUCCGUUUCCCACAGGAGGGCUUUGAUGAAGAAUACAUUUCAGUAACAUCGCUGAGUCCUCAAGCUUGGUUGCUAAUUUUUUUCUCAACUUUAUCCCAGUGGUUCUCAAACCUGAGCAGGUGUCAGAAUCUUCUGGAGGGCUUGGUUAGAAGACAGAGUGCUGGGCCCCACCCAGAGUUUCUGAUUCAGGAGGUCUGCUGGGGCCCGAGAAUCUGCAUUUCUAACAAGUUCCCAGAUGCUGCUGAUGUGGGAACCACACUCUGGGGACUGCUGCUUUAUCUUGUUUUGCCCUGGGGCAGACCCUGUUGGUUGCUUACCCAGCAGCCAUCCCCUCUUGGCUGCUGACAGAGCCCUGACUUGUUUUGGUGGCACAGAAAGAUUCUUUGCUUUCAGAGUUAGGUCUCUAUCUCAGUGCCUGAAGAUGAUGACGAUGGGUCUAGACCAGUCAUGGCAAUCCCAGUCCCCUUGCCCAUUGGUUGGUCUGAAGGUAGGCAAGUGCCCCACAGUGUCUAAAGAGAUGUGAGGGUGAAUCUGCUGACAAAGACUCACAAGGGCAAGGGCUUUGUCCCUUGCCUCUUCUUCCUGAAUGUGUACAUAUUGCUCAAGUUACAGUAGCCAUCUUGUGACCAAGAGAUGAUGA